CAACAACCUCCGUCGCCCUCCGGGCAGCCACCGUUCGAGUGCUCAGAGCCACUGGAGACAGCUACUCACCAGGCGGACAUUUAUCUACUAUUCAGAGCCGCGACGACUCGGUCAGCACCACGACCAGCUCACUCAUCCAUCUGAGGGCGCCCCCUGGGCCAGG